UACGUAGGGUGCAAGCGUUGUCCGGAAUUAUUGGGCGUAAAGAGCUCGUAGGCGGUCUGUCGCGUCUGCUGUGAAAAUCCGGGGCUCAACCCCGGACUUGCAGUGGGUACGGGCAGACUAGAGUGUGGUAGGGGAGACUGGAAUUCCUGGUGUAGCGGUGGAAUGCGCAGAUAUCAGGAGGAACACCGAUGGCGAAGGCAGGUCUCUGGGCCACUACUGACGCUGAGAAGCGGAAAGCAU
rnacentral:rRNA from 1 species